ACUAAGGCAAUGAAAAGGCAAGUAGGUGAAUUGGCUUCUACAGAGAAUCGGUGGUUGGUGCGAACCGAUGAAGUAAUUUACUGAAAUCCACCUUGGAGCAGAAAGGCCGAACCCAUUAAAUAAAUGGCUUAGGCUUUUCCGGGAAAGCCCGUUACAGCUAAUUAAGAGGGCCGUCUAUAGGCGGUCAAACAGGGUGGCAACGCGGGAAAACAACCUCUCGUCCCUGAU
rnacentral:ncRNA from 1 species